UCGAACAUCAUGUUCUGUUCCAGCCCCCAGCUAGCCACCCAGGAAGGAAGCAUUUUGUUCCUUUUAGACAGAGGGUCUGGCCGGCCAUAUGGCCACGCUGUUGAAAAGCUCUGUCCCUUGGGUAUUGUAUGAGCUAAAAGUAGGAAGCAGGACUGUUUCUGGGUGUGGCUGAAGGAAGAGUUCCGGUUGCUUUGGAUUCUGACUUCCUGGUCUAGGGCCGGGGUUGGGGGAACAGCAAGCUCUCCUGGAGGGCACGCAGGGCCAGGAGGCUGCUGGUGGAGUCAUGGCACCUACAAACUGGUUUGUUUUGAGAAAUACGUCAUUAGACAUAAAAUAGCAAAAUUUAACUUCAGAUUUCUCCUGUGGAUCCCAUGCAUUUAUCAGCGGAUGAGUGAAGAGAGAUGGCAAACGAAAAUGCCUGGAUUUGUUAUGGACUGGGUAUGGCUUACAUCAUUCUGACCACAUUCUAUUGGCCAAAACCUGGUUAUAUGACCACAAUUAGCUGCAAAUGAUGCUGGGAAGUACAAUCUUCCACUCUCCCCAAGAAGAGGAAACAGGGUUGGUGUCUGGCUGGUCUCUGGCAUAUC